rnacentral:rRNA from 1 species
GUGGGGAAUAUUGGACAAUGGGGGGAACCCUGAUCCAGCCAUGCCGCGUGUGUGAAGAAGGCCUUUUGGUUGUAAAGCACUUUAAGCGAGGAGGAGGCUACCGAGAUUAAUACUCUUGGAUAGUGGACGUUACUCGCAGAAUAAGCACCGGCUAACUCUGUGCCAGCAGCCGCGGUAAUACAGAGGGUGCAAGCGUUAAUCGGAUUUACUGGGCGUAAAGCGCGCGUAGGUGGCCAAUUAAGUCAAAUGUGACAUCCUCGAGCUUAACUUGGGAAUUGCAUUCGAUACUGGUUGGCUAGAGUAUGGGAGAGGAUGGUAGAAUUCCAGGUGUAGCGGUGAAAUGCGUAGAGAUCUGGAGGAAUACCGAUGGCGAAGGCAGCCAUCUGGCCUAAUACUGACACUGAGGUGCGAAAGCAUGGGGAGCAAACAGGAUUAGAAACCCCGGUAGUCC